rnacentral:rRNA from 1 species
UACGUAGGGUGCGAGCGUUAAUCGGAAUUACUGGGCGUAAAGGGUGCGUAGGCGGUUGUUUAAGUCUGUCGUGAAAUCCCCGGGCUCAACCUGGGAAUGGCGAUGGAUACUGGACAGCUGGAGUGUGUCAGAGGAUGGUGGAAUUCCCGGUGUAGCGGUGAAAUGCGUAGAGAUCGGGAGGAACAUCAGUGGCGAAGGCGGCCAUCUGGGACAACACUGACGCUGAAGCACGAAAGCGUGGGGAGCAAACAGG